rnacentral:lncRNA from 1 species
AUCCAGCACCACGGACAGCUCCCGGCGGUUCCCUGAGUGCCUAGUCCGUGUGCAUGACUGGAGGAGACUCCCAUAGCCUUGCAGAGGGAAAGCAGAUACAACCCACCCCAGACCAUGGCGGUUUCCCUGCAACGAGCCCAGUGGCUUUCUGGAGGACACUUUUCCUGGAGGGAAGCAGUGACUCAGCAUAAGUUCUUGCCUGGCCUCACUUGAGAGUCUCUUCCCGCUGAUCAGCAGAGGUCGUCUCCCUCUUCACCAGACCCUUGCUGCCUACCUGGUCCUUCUAACUGUGCAUUGGGUUUGGAGCACUUUAAACAGUAGAAUGACUGCAAGUCAAGAGCUCAGCCUACAGGAAGGACAACAAAAGGCAGGGUCAGUGCUGGAGAGACUGGACAGACCAAAAAGAAGACCUGACCUCACCCUGAGCACCCCUGUCAUGCAAAGUACGUUUGCAGACUGCCAACUGGCUGGCUCCAGCAAGCAGAAGUGGACGGGGUGGAGGCUCAACCUGGCAGCUUCUCCCCAAAGCCAUGCCUGGUCACUUCCAGCAAGUUGUCCAGCCUGACCAUCCAUUUCCCCUGUCGCCUCUCAGCUGGGUCCCCGAGACCCACCCCAUCUCCAAUAAAGAACGUUGCAUACAGAGCAUU